rnacentral:rRNA from 1 species
AACGCUGGCGGCAUGCCUCAUACAUGCAAGUCGAACGAAAUCUUCGGAUUUAGUGGCGCACGGGUGAGUACAUGUGGGAAUCUACCUGAAGGUUCGGAAUAACUGCGGGAAACUGUAGCUAAUACCGGAUGUGUCUGCAAAGAGAAAGAUUUAUCGCCUUCAGAUGAGCCCGCACUAGAUUAGCUAGUUGGUGAGGUAACUGCUCCACCAAGGCUACGAUCUAUAGCUGAUUUGAGAGGAUGAUCAGCCACACUGGGACUGAGACACGGCCCAGACUCCUACGGGAGGCAGCAGUAGGGAAUAUUGGACAAUGGGGGAAACCCUGAUCCAGCAAUGCCGCGUGAGUGAAGAAGGCCCUCGGGUUGUAAAACUCUUUCAUCAACGAUGAUAAUGACAUUAAUUGAAGAAGAAGCUCCGGCUAA